GACAGAGGGUGCAAACGUUGUUCGGAAUUACUGGGCGUAAGCGUGUGUAGGCGGCCAUGUAAGUCAGGUGUGAAAUCCCCGGGCUUAACCUGGGAACUGCAUUUGUGACUGCAUAGCUAGAGUACGGUAGAGGGGGAUGGAAUUCCGCGUGUAGCAGUGAAAUGCGUAGAUAUGCGGAGGAACACCGAUGGCGAAGGCAAUCCCCUGGACCUGUACUGACGCUCAUGCACGAAAGGCGUGGGGAGCAAACAGGAUUAACGAAAACCCCAG
rnacentral:rRNA from 1 species